rnacentral:rRNA from 1 species
GACGAACGCUGGCGGCGUGCCUAAUACAUGCAAGUCGAGCGCAGGAAGCCAUCUGAACCCUUCGGGGGGACGACGGUGGAAUGAGCGGCGGACGGGUGAGUAACACGUAAAGAACCUGCCCAUAGGUCUGGGAUAACCACGAGAAAUCGGGGCUAAUACCGGAUGUGUCAUCGGACCGCAUGUCCGCUGAUGAAAGGCGCUCCGGCGUCGCCCAUGGAUGGCUUUGCGGUGCAUUAGCUAGUUGGUGGGGUAACGGCCCACCAAGGCGACGAUGCAUAGCCGACCUGAGAGGGUGAUCGGCCACACUGGGACUGAGAGACGGCCCAGACUCCUACGGGAGGCAGCAGUAGGGAAUCUUCCACAAUGGACGAAAGUCUGAUGGAGCAACGCGGCGUGAACGAUGAAGGCUUUCGGGUCGUAAAGUUCUGUUGUAAGGGAAGAACAAGUGCCGCAGGCAAUGGCGGCACCUUGACGGUACCUUGCGAGAAAGCCACGGCUAACUACGUGCCAGCCGCCGCGGUAA